UACAGACCCCUUUAGCUGUCGGCAGGUGGAAGCUCCAUUGUGGGGACAGCCAGGCUGUGCCUGCAGCUGCUGCCCCAGGGCUGCUCAAGAGGCCUGUGGAAACAGCGGUGACGUCUUUACAGAAAAAUACAUCCACAUAUUCAAAACACCCUUGUGUGCGCUGCUCCGAAGGUGGCCGUCUCUAUGAGAAAGGCCUUGCUGCCUCCUUAAGUGACCCGUGUCCAAGUGGGAGCAUAAAGAGAUCAUUAGCUUUGUGCUGUGCUCCUACCGACACAGUCUUUGACCUUUGACGCAAUUUGGCAAAUCAGAUGGCUCUUAUUACAAAAGCCUUUGAAACACGCCGUCCCUUCCACCCUGUGCUGUCUGCUGGGGACCAGAGGGCUUGAAAACAGGCACCUGAAGAGAAAAAAGAGAGCCAGGGCAGUUUCCAUGGGAGCUUAAGGGGGCCACUGUCAAGUUUAUCCCAGAUAUUUGUGAGGUAAGAAAGCUUUUGUUUUGUUGAAGUGAGGGGUUUGGUUUGUUUGUUUUUGUUUUAAGAGCAUUAUCUCCUCUAACUUUUCUUUGUGAUUAACAUCACCUUGUAAAAAGCCCAUUAAGACAUGAUAUUGGUCCCAUAGGUUUACAAACUGACAAUUUCAAUUUCCCAACCAGGGACUUCACAAAGGCACCAAUAUUCCAGGAAACUAAGUUCUUUGGUCUCCUGACUAUGGAUACAGAUUCUUAAAAACUUAGACCUCUGUAUCUAUACUGAGUGCUGUUAUUAGGUGGCAAUCCUUAACCUGUCAAAGCUGCCAUUCAUGUUAGCAUCCACUGCAAUGUCACCUUUGCUGUGUUCUGAAAGAAGCUUGAUUUCAGCUGUCUCCCUUCUGUAUUCAGGAGGGGACAGCUAAGCAGUCCUAUUGCCCACUGCACGAUGUGCCUUGACUGCAAAACCCAUCAACUUCUGGCCAGAGAAGCAGCAGUAAAAUCCCUCAGAGCUCUCACUGUACAGGUCUACGUGUAGAUGACGAGGCUAGAUCAGAAGAGACCAGAAAACAUCCUGUGGUGGCGGUGAAGGGAAGUAGCCACUGUCUUAACCCUGACUUUGAAAUAACUGGCAGCAGCUGUAAUUUCUCACAGCACUUUCCAGAGGCAGCCCUACAAGGUCAGGUGAUGUGACAUCACUUCUUGUGAGCUAGAUGUGUGACAUGGUAAUCUUUUUUCCUCUGGUUAUCUUACUCAAUAAGUUUCUGUCUCAUUUGGGACUCAUGACUUACACACAGACAGAAGGCACUCUGAAACACGAGGGUGAUGGUGUAACUUCAGCACAAUCCCAGGAGCACCCAGAUCAAACUGCUGGCUCUAAACCAGUUCUGAUUCCUAGGAAAGGUGAGAGUCAAAUGUACAUCUGUUCCUGGAGGAUUCCUCUGAAUUCAGAUGUCAUGGCUUGUUUCUGUCCUGGUGAAGAUGGAAAAUAAGCUCCUAUACAUGAACACCAUAAAUUUUCUGGGAAGGUCAGACCAAGAGCAUGCCUAGAGGAUUGGCUGUUGUCAUUAAAACCAAAGUCAGGUUUCUGUGCUUGAUGAUCUCAGGAGCGGUGGGUUGACCUCGGGUGGGUUGACCUCACCCACAAAGCCACUCUAUCACUUGCCCUCCUCAGCGAGCAGUGCCAGCUCUGCUCAGCAGCAACCAAAACACUGUUGUGUUUUAAACACCACUCCAGCUACAAAUAAAAAGCACAGCACUAUGAGGGCUACUACGAGUGAAGUUAACUAACACACCCUUCAAAUACACUGUGUUUUCUGAAAGUAAAAGAAUAUGGUUGAAUUGUUUAUCCUGACUUUUAAUGGCUUUUGAGUAUUCAGCAGUUUAUUUGGAAACAGAAAGAAAGGUUUUUGCUGAGCUUUCUGUGUCCCUAGUGAAGAAUAUGUCCUCUUAAAUGCCAGGGAAAAUGAGUUAGAACAGAAUGUUUCUAGCCCUUCACGUUGUGCCUUUGGCAUUCUCCACUUACAGCAUGUUAGCUGUGCAAAUUGAAUUUCUCCUUGAACUUUUUUAACCUAAAUGAUUCUAUGACUCUAGGGAAGUGUAAGUUAGAAGCUGUGAUACUUCAAAAUAUUAGGAUGUCAGACAUGAUAACUUUGUAUUAGGAAUAUGUAGUUGAAAAAUCUGAUCCUUGGAAUGGCUGUGCUGUAGCACAGCUGAUUUUGUGUCAGUGCCAAAAGUUCAGUUUUGCAAAGAUAAUAUCCCGUAUCAGAAUUCCAUCAUCUGUCUGCUGAGAAGAACCAUGUGGAUAUUUCUUUCUUAAUGACUGAAGAAUAUUCCUAAUGAUCUUUGAAGAGCUGUUGUAAUUUGACAGCAGGAAAUUGUUCUGGCUUUUGAAUAUGUAGCAAAUAUUUUAAAGCAGGCUUUUAAGUGGUUUCCUUAGCAACCACUCUUCUUUAGAGAUCAAUGCAUACUAAUAAGGAUCCUCCUGGAUUCGAAUCAGCUUUGCAAUAUUAAAGGCACUUGUUUAAGAUGCUGCCAGGUCAUGCACAGUUCCUCGCUGUCCAACAGCCCUGGAGCACAGAGGCAAGCUCUUUCUCUGCCUGCCAGACUUUUCUCCAGACAAGCAAGGACACCACCUUUUGGUGGUGAUCUCCUAUAGGCAUCCUGAUGGGUGGAGAAGCUGGCUGUGCUCACUGUUGUCUGCUCCCUCAUCCAGCAGCUCCAGGGAAUGGGGAGCUUUAUUUCUCAUUCAUCUGCCCUCCACUCCCACACCCUAAGAAAAUGCUAGUGACUUGUGAUUCCUUUUCAAAGGAGUAUCAAGUACAGCUCUUAACUGAGCAAAGCCCACAUUCCUUUUUUUUUGGUCUUAUAUCUUAAGUGUCUGGGGCAUCCCAUAAUUUAUCUUUCAAUCCCAUAUUCCAUAUUUAUUAUCAAUAGGAAUGUAAAGCCAUUAAUGGUGGAGAGGUGACAUUAAUAUAAAGAAGAACCAUCUUCUACUCUCCUCCAAGGGUUUAGUGAUGUAUUCUGACUUGGAUUGCCAUCCCUAUUUGCUAUGGACAUCUGAGAUUUAAGGCAGUUUUGGCAGAACUGACCUAAGAAUCUUAAAGAAAACAAGUGCUGCUCAUGGAAAAUGUGUUUAACAGUGAUCCUAAUGGAGGGCAUUUGCCUGGUGUUUGUCACCAGCCCUGUGAGAGCCUGACUGGAUGCCCCAGCAGUGCUGGUUUCUCUGGGGGCAGACUUUUCAUUGUUUCUGGCUGGAAGUUUAGAGAUUGUUCCUGCUGCCAUAGAGUAAAAAGGCACGAGAAUAAUUUUCUUCUGAUGCCUCCCCACAGUCCGUGUGCCUUUGCUACCUUGCUGCAAAGCCUUGAUGUGAGGCUUCUCUCAGAAACUGUUUAGAGGCAUGGAGGCAGACCUAUAUUCCAUGAAAGUACAUUUAACUUCUGUUAAAUCUCCCCCUUCUCUGGCCCCAUUCCCUCCCUGCCUCCCUGAGAUCAUCUUGCUCCAACUAUGGCUGGCCAGAGUUCCCUCUUACGCAGAGCACAGUGUGAUGCAGUUGCACCCUGCCAACGCCUCCGUUGUUUGAGGAUUUACAAGGUCUGUUUUUAAACACCCUUGCAACAAACAAAA